UACGUAGGUGGCAAGCGUUGUCCGGAAUUAUUGGGCGUAAAGCGCGCGCAGGCGGUCCUUUAAGUCUGAUGUGAAAGCCCACGGCUCAACCGUGGAGGGUCAUUGGAAACUGGGGGACUUGAGUGCAGAAGAGGAAAGCGGAAUUCCACGUGUAGCGGUGAAAUGCGUAGAGAUGUGGAGGAACACCCGUGGCUAAGGCGGCUCUCUAGUACGGUACUGACGCUGAGACGCGAAAGCGUGGGGAGCGAACAGG
rnacentral:rRNA from 1 species